GGAAUCUUCCACAAUGGACGAAAGUCUGAUGGAGCAACGCCGCGUGAGUGAUGAAGGUUUUCGGAUCGUAAAACUCUGUUGUAAGGGAAGAACAGGUAUGAGAGGUAAUGCUCAUGCUAUGACGGUACCUUACGAGAAAGCCACGGCUAACUACGUGCCAGCAGCCGCGGUAAUACGUAGGUGGCAAGCGUUGUCCGGAAUUAUUGGGCGUAAAGCGCGCGCAGGCGGCCUUUUAAGUCUGAUGUGAAAGCCCCCGGCUCAACCGGGGAGGGUCAUUGGAAACUGGAAGGCUUGAGUACAGAAGAGAAGAGUGGAAUUCCAUGUGUAGCGGUGAAAUGCGUAGAGAUGUGGAGGAACACCAGUGGCGAAGGCGACUCUUUGGUCUGUAACUGACGCUGAGGCGCGAAAGCGUGGGGAGCAAACAGGAUUAGAUACCCCUG
rnacentral:rRNA from 1 species